rnacentral:rRNA from 1 species
GACGAACCGUGCAAACGUUGUUCGGAAUCACUGGGCUUAAAGCGUGUGUAGGCGGGCCCGUAAGUGUCUUGUGAAAUCCCACGGCUCAACCGUGGAACUGCUGGGCAUACUGCGGGUCUUGGGCCAACUAGGGGCAGCCGGAACAAGCGGUGGAGCGGUGAAAUGCGUAGAUAUCGCUUGGAACGCCGAAGGUGAAAACAGGCUGCUGGGGUUGCGCCGACGCUGAGACACGAAAGCCAGGGGAGCAAACGGG